GGCCGACCGACACUGCGG
rnacentral:misc_RNA from 1 species